CUCUCCUUGUAUUUCAAAUGUUUGAGAGUUACAAACUUUACUAGUAGCAGAGGAGCAACAGAAUUAUGUCAUUGUAUGGAAAUGGAUACAGGUUUGUUCCAACAGCAGAGUAAACCAUAAAUUGGAUUCAUUCUAUUCCCAUAAAUCUCAAAAAUCGUCAGAAACAAUGCUGUAGCCUAAAUGUAGCGUUGUAAUUUACCAGUAUGAGUAGACAUGUUAGAUGCCUCUCCAUUACUCUUACAUGCGCCAUCUUGCACCAAAGCACCUAGUUCUGAACUUGAAUACUUUCAUCCUAACAAGCCAUGCCUGUGUUCUGCAAAUCCAAG
rnacentral:misc_RNA from 1 species